CACAUGGAGGUGUAUCCAGUUGAUAUGAGACAUAUCAAAAUGUCUGUUUGUAGCCAGCUCUAUCAGCCAGAUAAUUUCUAAACGGAACUGAAGUCUUAACUGAUGGGGUUGCCAUGUUGUCGAAUGUUGAAAAGUGAUGCUAUUCCAUAGAUUUUCCCCUUCACUUUAAAGAGGAAGGCAUCCGAUCUGCCAACAUCAAAGCAGCAGAAAAUAAGUCAAGCUGAGGUAACAUAGCUAACUUUACAUAGCUAACUAGCAAGCUAGCAAACAAAAUUUGUUUAGCUAAACCAAGAUCUAGCUAGCUAGCUUUCAUAAUACGCUGGCUAGACAUUCCAAAGCAUAUCAAUGUAAUUAGCCAUCUGCUAUCUGGCGAUUUGAUUUGUAACUUUGCAAGCUAACGUUAGUUUCGUUAGGUUACAUUAGCUAACCGUUAGCAAGCUUGCUAACUAUCUACCGCAGAGGCUAACGUGACUUUUAUUUAGUGUCCAAUCCCAUCAACAUCUGCAGAGGCAUCAACAUCAAGAUCAGCACCAUUAACUAGUCCUGCUGCUGCUGCUGAUGAUGACCUUGACACCAGCUUUAGUAGUGCAGAGCCUGUAGACCCAUUGGAUGAAAGCUUUCAGCCUGGAAUAAGCUCAAGCUCAAUAUCAUCUGACUUUAAAACAAGCCAGGACUGCCAACGUCUUCAUGUCUUUCCAAGAGACUUGCAGUACAAACAAAUCUUCUGCAAGAGGUCCAAGCAGUGGGUGGUGAAGAAAGUGUACGAGAGGCUUGUCAACCUUGCCGUGGAGUGCAGAAAGGACCAGACGGUUGUCUACAAGGAGCCUGUAUCAUAGCUCCCCAAACUCAACAUCCCUGCCAACAUCGCCACAGUGCCAAAACCUGCUAAACCAGCUGCCAUUACCCAACAGAGGUUCACCAGCUGAAGAACAUUCUGGAACCUGCCUGGAACAUUCAACCAACACAACAUUCAUAUUCAGUUAGACUGAUGUUGUAGUAUAAUUAUGAAUGCCUAGUAUGCUCAGCACUGCAUUGUGGUAUAGAUAUUGCUAGCUGUACAUAUGUAUAUAAUUGUCUUUUAUAUAAUAUUUUUUACAAGUGUACUGACAAGUGACUAAAUGAUUCCAGCUGCAUC